rnacentral:tRNA from 1 species
GGCGAAGGUCGGGGAUGGCCGGUCUCGGGCUCAUAACCCGAAGGUCGUUGGUUCGAAUCCAACCUCCGCAACCA